rnacentral:piRNA from 1 species
UGCCUGAAGGAAGUAGUAGCCCGUCAGCC